rnacentral:rRNA from 1 species
GUGAGGAAUAUUGGUCAAUGGACGAGAGUCUGAACCGGCCAAGUAGCGUGAAGGAUGAAGGUCCUACGGAUUGUAAACUUCUUUUAUAAGGGAAUAAAACCUCCCACGUGUGGGAGCUUGUAUGUACCUUAUGAAUAAGCAUCGGCUAACUCCGUGCCAGCAGCCGCGGUAAUACGGAGGAUGCGAGCGUUAUCCGGAUCUAUUGGGUUUAAAGGGAGCGCAGACGGGUCGUUAAGUCAGCUGUGAAAGUUUGGGGCUCAACCUUAAAAUUGCAGUUGAUACUGGCGUCCUUGAGUGCGGUUGAAGUGUGCAGAAUUCGUGGUGUAGCGGUGAAAUGCUUAGAUAUCACGAAGAACUCCGAUUGCGAAGGCAGCACACUAAGCCGUAACUGACGUUCAUGCUCGAAAGUGUGGGUAUCAAACAGGAUUAGAUACCCGUGUAGUCC